rnacentral:rRNA from 1 species
UCUGCAACCCGACUCCAUGAAGCUGGAUUCGCUAGUAAUCGCGCAUCAGCCACGGCGCGGUGAAUACGUUCCCGGGCCUUGUACACACCGCCCGUCAAGCCAUGGGGAGCCGGGGGUGCCUGAAGGCCGUGACCGCGAGGAGCGGCCUAGGGUAAAACUGGUGACUGGGGCUAAGUCGUAACAAGGUAAC